CCCUUAGAUGUUCUGGGCCGCACGCGCGCUACACUGUUCGACGCAGCGAGUCUUAACCUUGACCGAAAGGUUUGGGUAAUCUUCAGCAAAGUCGAACGUGAUGGGGAUCGAUCAUUGCAAUUAUUGAUCGUGAACGAGGAAUUCCUAGUAAGUGCAAGUCAUCAGCUUGCGCUGAUUACGUCCCUGCCCUUUGUACACACCGCCCGUCGCUCCUACCGAUUGAAUGGUCCGGUGAAGUGUUCGGAUCGCGCCGACGUGGGCGGUUCGCCGCCGGCGACGUCGCGAGAAGUCCACUGAACCUUAUCAUUUAGAGGAAGGAGAAGUCGUAACA
rnacentral:rRNA from 1 species